CCUGUCUUGUGGCCAUUCUUUUUGCGUCUUUUGUCCCCAUUCCCUAUCCCUGACUCUCUUGCCCCAGGUUGAUGUCCUGCAGGUCAGGACAACUGGUGCCCAAAGUGAGGCUGGAUAGAGUUGGGGAUCUGGGAACUUCAGUGCUCAUUAGAGGGACGGCCUGUCUAUGCAAUGAGGCGUCCAAGACAAGGUCUAUUGUGAGCCUCGGUUGGAGGAAGACCCAGCAGCCUGCCCAGCACUUGGGACUUUCGGUUCAUGAGCACCAACUACAUGGAAAAGUGAGUAGGGAAAGGCCAAGACAGCUAAUGGCAGUUCCAUGAGAAACCAAAGAAGAGCUUGCUCAAGCUGGAACUACUGAUUCUACUCAGGAGAGAGGCUUGAUUGAAGGGCCAACAGGCCCUCAGCCAAUCAUCUCACUGUACCCUCUCCACCCAGAACAUGUGCCUUCCAGGGAAGCAUGCAUAUAUGACCAAUUAGAAGGUCCAGAUGCACCACCUUACUCUAAUGGUAUUUACGUGUGUGUGUGUGUGUGUGUGUGUGUGUGUGUGUGUGUGUGUGUGAAUAUAAGACAUUGAGACAACAACCGUGUCAUUAACAUGGCAACCCCAUUCUGAAAAUUUUUCCUCUAUAUUAGUUAACCCAACAGCACAAAUGUAACAAGAAAAGUAAAGAUUCAAGCUGAAUCAAGGUCACUUUCAUUCUGGUUUGAGGGACUAUGUCAAAAUAAAAUUUUGUCCUUCUCAGACA